rnacentral:lncRNA from 1 species
GAACCACGGGAUUUAUGUAAUUCAAACACAUGUAGAUAGCACGAUAGUCGAUAGAUCUCACCAUUGCAAUGCUGCCCGACCAGGCAGUAACAAAACAUGCACCAUACUCAAAAUCGGUUAAGUUUUACUUGUUCAAGUUGACUAUCUACUUAUAAAGACUAUUUUCCAGCGAUCAGGUUUACUAAUAAGCGGCAAAAAUCCGACUAUCAUUAGAAUACAUACCUCAUCGCAAUCCAAAUAUCUCUUCUGGAGGAUCAUAAACACGCUGAUCUGGAAAUAUUUCCUCGAAAUCCUGCUUAACCCUGUU